CCAUUCCGUCUCACCCAAAAGAAACCCUAACCUAGCCGCCCCAGAAUCCUCUCAACUCAUUAGCCGGCGGCGUUGACUUCAAUCCCUCCAAAUCACCUUAAAAUUUAACCAUACAAUCCUCACCAGCCCUUCUUUCCAAAUCCAUCGGUAUUCCUCCCUAAAACCCAGCAAAACCCAUCCAAUUUCGGAUCUGAAAACGUAAAAAAAUGCAAACCCUAAUUUCCCUCUCCUUCUCUGAUUUUGUUCAGAUUCCGACUCGUUCUAACUUAAACCUUACGUUAAUAGAUUGCUCUCAACAAGAGCAAUCAAUUGACGAUAGUUUUGAGUCAAUACGAGAAUGUCGGAUUCGGACAGGCCCACCGCAAUCUAUCCAAACCUGCUGCUGGACCAAUUCAGUUCCAUGGUUCCCUUUUGCUUUCUGGUACCUCUUUGAAUCCUUGGGUUGCAAAAUGAAUCUGAAGAUGUAUAUGUGUUGAGGCUAAUGCAUUAAUCAGUGUUUUUCUUCAGUAAAUGGCUUUUUUUAUCUGAUUAGCUCAUAUUUCCUAUCUUUUGUCAACCAGUGUUCUGCUCUGCAUAUCGAUAAAUACAGACUUGUAUUUAACGUGUAAUCUUUCAUGUAAUGUUGAAUCUUCAAGCUAUUAUGUUGUGGCUUCAGUUAUUA